ACAGCAGAUUUUUUCCAGAAAUCAUGAAGAACCAAUAAAUUUUGUGUGCUUAAAGACAAAAAAAACUUUAUUUCUAAUCCUAGCCCCAUGAAAAUACCCUUCAGGAAUGAAGGAGAAACUGAGACCUCCUCAGAAGAUUUUCAUAAGUAGAGCUACCAGAAAAGAAUGGUUACUGAGAAUUCUCUAAACAGAGAAAAAAAAUUAGAAGAAAGAACCUUGAAACAUGAGGAUAGGAAAAUGAACACAUUUGCCAUUCCCAGUGCUCUUUCUGAAGUGUGCCCUUUGGAGAAAACAGAAAGAAGCUCUUGUUUCAGCAUGUGUUUUCUCACUUGCCUUCCUACAAGUUGAAAGAUGUUUCCUCAUCCUGCCUGGACCAUGCUCUGCCCCACACAGCUGGGAUGGGGCGUGGGCCCACCUGGGGAUAUAGCCGUCACUUCACUUGAUCGUGAACUGUGCUUCUCCAGCAAGGAAUUGUUUCUUGAGACCCAUUGGAUAUCACAUGACAUUUAGUCAUCAUGUCUCUUUGGACUCCUCUUUGCUGUGACAGUUUCUCAGGAUACCCUUGUUUUUGAUGACCUUGACAAUUUUCAGGAGUGCUGGUCAGAUAUUUUGUAGGAUGCCCACUAUUGGAAUGUGCCUGAUGUUUUUCUUAUGGUGUUUGAUUGGAAGACCAAAUACAGCUCUAAACGUCAACUGAAGAAAGGUGUUGGUGCAACAACGGUGGAUGCUGUGGGAGCCUGAGCUACCUGCCCAUACAGCUUGAUUAUGCCUAUUGAUCCCAUCUGCAGCACUUUCAUCUUAUAAAGGAUCAUUGCUGUACUCACACAGCCUUAUGACUUGUGUGCAUCUCCCAAGACCCAGCUCUUUAGUCAGUGGGCUCUGGAUAUGAAAACUGGCUCAGGUCUGGAAAUUGGAUAUGAGAUUGUAACUUUUUACUAGGGCAAGCAUCUAUUAUUUCUCCUCACACAGACCAACAUCCUUGUUGAUUGCCCAUCUAGAGACACUGUAAACUGUUAAGCAUCUCCAUAAUUCUCUGAAAGUCAGACCUCCUUGGCUUACAGUCCACCUUGCCAGUUGUUAUGGUAAUUGUAAACCUCUUUUUCUGGCAGUUAAAUGUUGCCACCUGCUCUUUAUUGUGUUAGAAUUUUGUCAUCCCCACUUGUAUCAGCGUGCUAAGUUCUGUAACAUCUUCUACUGUCAGCCUGGCCUGUAGAGGACAACUGCCACUGAAAGUUUUAGUGAUAUUAGUGUCCCCUCACCAGCAUACUUUCACGGCCUUGGUAAAUGGUGUGCCCUCUGGGUCUUGUGGAACAUAACUGUCUUGUGGGUCUUCUGGCCACAUGGUAUCCACUCUAGCAUAUCCAAAACCUGAAGCCUUUUAAUUUCUUCCUCUACUAUCUCCUAUACGAUUCUGGCAUUUCAACUUUGUUUAGUGUAAGCUAUGAUUUUUUUCUGUGCUUCUAGAACCCAUCCUGAUCAUGAUUUUGCAUCAUUUCUUGAGCUCCUUGCCAAAAUGUGAAAUUCUGUAACUUGGUAGAAUGUUUCCUUCUCUGAUCUUAUGUUCUAGUCUCCUUGAUUAAGCACCCUCAGGACCCAAUCUCACACAUAUACGCAUGGCUCCUGCCAGAACAUGCUGGCUAGAUCUUUAUCUCCUCUGGGGUAUACUCCCUUUACUCUCUUGUUACGCCCAGCAUCGCCCUCACUGAAAUAUGCUGGAAAUGUACCCUAGUUAUAGGUGUAGUGGACAGGAGGGGAGAAGGGAGCAGAUCCUGUGAGGAGCACCUGUUCUUUUCUGAGAGUUUUCAUUUUUUUUCCAGCAUGUCAUUGUGUUGGUUUUUAACAUGGAGGUAUGGAACACUUAUGAAGGUUCAGAGGAUUUAAGGAGUCUGGAAAAUCAAAAAUCAAAAUAUUUGGGAGCAUCCACUCAUUGUUCUUACCUUCCAUGUAGGAGUCUCUGGUUUUCCCCAUGAGUUCUAACCUUUGCUUAACAAUCUGCCUUUGGUGGAGGUUAAUCAUUUUGAAGUUCAGCCACUAUAAAUUCUAGUCUCUAUCCUUAGCUUUCUUCAAUCUCUUUUUCAGAAAAUAACAGUGUCUUAUUUAUAAAACCAAAGCUUGCCUCUGGAGUUUAUAUCUGGCUUUUAGUUGUAUGCUGCUUACCCUCAUUUAUUUGUUAUAAAUAAGAAAUAAGUUCCACUUAUCAAAACCAUCGAGUUCAAUUAUCUUUAUUAGAGCUACUAUUUAUCCUGUAUGUCACUGUUUAGAAAAAACACAAACCCUGUUUUUUCUCUGCUCUAACACCAACACAACAAUCAAUGCAGAAGACUUCUGUGACCAAAUGGGUGGGGGUUUUUCCCCACUGACUGGGGAUACCAGUUGGGUAUCCUCCAAUUCAAUUCUGACACUGUCUACCUGGAGAUAGCAUCAGAUUCCACAGGUUGAGACCUCAGUCCCCUAUUGCCCUGCCACUUCAGAUACAAGUUGCAAGUCUGAACCUCUGGAACUUCUGACCAACCAGCUUUAAGUUGGGCUUUCCACCACUCACUCUUUGGGUUCAAUUAAUUUGCUGGAGUGGCUCACAAAACUUAGGGGAACACUUGUGUUUACUGGUUUAUUAUAAAGGAUAUUGCAAAGAAUAGAUGAAGAGAUGCAUAGAGUGAGGUAUGGGGGAAGGGACCAGAGCUUCUAUGCUCUCCCUGCUUACAACACUCUCCAGGAACAUCCAUGUGUUCAGGUAUCCAGAAGCUCCCAAAUCCUGUCCUUUGUGCCUUCUAUGGAGACUUCAUUGCUUUUCCAUGAUUGAACCAUGUACAGCCAUUAGAAAUGUAACUGGACAAAAAGGAUAUGACCUAAUCCCAGCAAGGCCUUUUUGGCCUCUUUGUGCAGCUUUCUUUCCUCUAGAGUGUGAGGGUCUUAUGAUCCACAAUUAGAUUAGGGUCCUGAGAUUCUGUUUCCUGAGGCCUGCUUCUUAGGCCUAAAGCACUCCAAUAUUAUAACAAAACACUGUAACAAGGACUAUGGGAGAUAUGAGCCAGGAACCAUAGACAAAAAUGUGUGUGUGUGUGUGUGUGUGUGUGUCUGUCUGUCUGUCACAAACACAUAAAAUAUAAUAAUACCAGCUACUAUUCCCUUCCACUGAUACAAUUCACUAGAAAUGCACUACCAACUUACCAACAGUGAUAUGGUUCUUAUUUUUGGCUGGGCUAUAACAAUCCAGCUCCAAACCCCCAUCUUAUUAUCUGAUUUGUGGUACCACUCCUGUUAUCAACUGACAUACGGUGGAUUGUAUAAAAUGAAGUUGGAGUGUAAGAUGUUAAUGAAGUGAUCAGCACCUGGCAAAGGAGAGGGGAGGGAGCAGGACUGAACACAGGAAGAAGUUAAACUAUAAUGCAGGCCUGACAAACCCUCAGCCAACCUAGUGGUCACCUCUGGAGUGAGAAUGACUCAGAGGUAUUGGGUCACACUGGAUGGACCUGUACUGAGCUCACUCAUCAGAUGGGGGCUGCCCUAGAAAGGCAAGACCUUGGGAAAGUGGCUCUCUGCAGCUGACAUGAGGCCAACCCUAAAGAAGCUGCCAGUUGUAGGUUGUCUGCAAACCAUAUUCCCCUCAGCUAGGUAGCAAGUCCCUCUCUGAUGUGAGAUCUUGGUUUCAUAGCUCCAUGUCUUGCACAUUUCUUGAGUCAUUUUCUAGAACAGUGGUAAAGAUGAGUGGUAUAGUAUGGAUGUUUGUCCCCCAAACCACGUGUUAAAAUUUCAUUUCCAGUGUUGGAGGCGGGCCUAAUGAGAGGUGUUUGGGUCACAAGUGAGAUCCCUUAUGAACAGAUCAAUGCCUUCCCUGGGAAGGGAGGUAACUGAGUUCUCCCUGUAUGAGCUCCCAGGAAAGCUGAUUGCUAAAAGGGGCCUGAUGCCUCACUCCCCACUCUCUCACUUUCUUUGUCUCACCAUGUGACCUCUACACUCCAGUGCCCCUUCGCACCUUCCACCAUGAGCAGAAACAGCCUGAAGCCCUCACCAGAAGCAGACGCUGCACCAUGCUUCUUGUACCUGCACAACCAUGAGCCAAAUAAACCACCUUCUUUUCUUUAAAAAUUAUUCGACUUCAGGUAUUCCUUUAUAGUAACACAAAAAUGGACUAAGAAAAUGAACCAUGCUUACUACAAUUCCUCAGCAUCCAUGCUAAUCCACAACCCCUUCCCUCCCCCAGCUCCUUCAUUCCAAUGUGAAGUCUCUAGAAACUAGGUAUUUCACUGCAUCUGGCAAAGCAAUGCACAGUUUUAAGGUACAGGGCACUAUAGUACAAGCUACAAGAGAGAAAACCAGUUUCUGCCUGGUUUAUACUGGUCAAGAUAGUAUAAGAAAAGGUUGAAUCAAAACUGCCCUAACCCUAUUAAUAAUAUACUAGUAAUAUAAACAACAUAUUAAUAACAUGAAACUUGUCUAUUAAUUUACUUAAGGACCCAUUUCAAUAUCACUGGGAGUGGUUUCUUACUGUUAUGAACUUCUCUAAUAUUCACUCUUUUACCUUAUAGCACUCUUGGCUACCUCAAACUUUAAUUAUUUGCACAUAUUUUCUCUAUACUACUAAUAUACACUAUCUUCAUAUUAGUCUCUUUCUUGAGCCCAUCACCCAGUUUAUUAGGCCCUGGAGAAAUAUUUUUCAAUGUCUCCAUUGCAUAAUAUAGCAGUCUUCAACAUUCUCCUGAAGGAUAUGAAAAAUGAUGUUCACAGGAAAAACAUGCACUCAUAGAUAUGCUCAUAUUUUAGAAAAAAUAUUUUUUCAGACAAGUAAAGAACUGAGAUAAGCUAUUGGGGAACAUCAGUAACAAUGGCUGUAUGUGGGCUGCAACAUAAAGAAGACAAGUGCCAUUUAUAAGCAAUUCCCAAUAUUUUGAGUGGCACUUUCUGAGGUCCAGAAUCACAUAACCAAUUUUCUACUGAUAUCUCCACCCAUCAGUAACAAAAGCUUACCUUCAACCCCAAAGCUGCUUCCCGUGUCUUCUACUUCAGCAAAUGGCACUGUCGUGCAUACAACUUCUCAACCAAACACUUGGGAUUCAUCUUGGACCACUCCCCAUCUCAUACACCAUUCAUUUCUACUUAACCCCCAAGUCCUAAUGAUUUUUUCACUUAAUAUCUCUUGAACAUAUCCACUUCUUUUUAUCCCUUAAUCUCUUCCAUUUCUCA
rnacentral:lncRNA from 1 species